UACGUAGGGUGCAAGCGUUGUCCGGAAUUAUUGGGCGUAAAGAGCUCGUAGGCGGUUUGUCGCGUCUGCUGUGAAAACCCGAGGCUCAACUCCGGAUCUGCGGUGGGUACGGGCAGACUAGAGUGAUGUAGGGGAGACUGGAAUUCCUGGUGUAGCGGUGAAAUGCGCAGAUAUCAGGAGGAACACCGAUGGCGAAGGCAGGUCUCUGGGCAUUAACUGACGCUGAGGAGCGAAAGCAUGGGGAGCGAACAGG
rnacentral:rRNA from 1 species